AUUGAACGCUGGCGGCAUGCUUUACACAUGCAAGUCGAACGGCCGCGCGGGCUUCGUCCUGGCGGCGCGUGGCGAACGGGCGAGUAAUUCACAGGAACGUGCCCAAUCUUUGGGGCUAGCUCGGCUACAGCCGGCUUAAUACCGCAUCCGACCAGAGGUUGAACGGGGGGGAUCUUCGGACCACGCGCUUUUGGCGCGCCCCAAGGCAGAUUAGCUAGUUGGUAUGGUAAAGGCCUACCAAGGCGACGAUCUGUAGCUGGUCUGAGAGGACGACCUGCCACACUGGGACUGAGACACGGCCCAGACUCCUACGGGAGGCAGCAGUGGGGAAUUUUGGGCAAUGGGCGAAAGCCUGAUCGAGCAAUGCCGCGUGUGUGAUGAAGGCCUUCGGGUUGUAAAGCACUUUUGGCGGGAACGAAAAGGAGUGUGCGAAUACCAGGGUUUGAUGACGGUACCCGAAGAAUAAGCACCGGCUAACUACGUG
rnacentral:rRNA from 1 species